rnacentral:piRNA from 1 species
AGGCCCCAGAGGUCGCACUCCGCAGG